rnacentral:tRNA from 1 species
UGGGGGGUCGUCUAAGGGUAGGACAGGGGACUUUGGAUCCCCUAAUGCAGGUUCGAGUCCUGCCCCCCCAGCCA